UGGACCUGCUUUGUUCUGCUUAGCCUGGGGAGUCUGUGCUUGGCAGCUUGUCAUCAUUAUGAACUGGACUUCAGCACCAUCUCUGGUUGCAUGACAGCAAUUACCACCGCCGUGACUCGACUGCUGCUGGAGCAAUGCACCCAGAGGAAGGCGAGAGGGGAAGCCGUGUCCACAGGUCAUCCAGGGAUGGAAACAAACACGGCUCCAAGCUGCAGAGUGACGCGCUGAUGCAGGCACAUGCUCAGGAUCCAUGAAGCUGUUCAGUGAAGGUGACACCUGGUGGGCCAGUGGCAUGCUCCGGGCAUGCUCCUCAUCAGAAGGGACAAGGAAGCUGAUCAGGGCUGAUGGGAAGAUGGAUGCAGCUAAAUGCAGCUAAACUGGACUAAGAGGAUGAGUUAGCCAGAGAGGGAAGACGAGGGUUCUGGACCAGAAAGUGCCGCUGAUGUUCUGUGGAGGCAGGCG